rnacentral:rRNA from 1 species
UACGGAGGGAGCUAGCGUUGUUCGGAAUUACUGGGCGUAAAGCGCACGUAGGCGGCUUUGUAAGUUAGAGGUGAAAGCCCGGGGCUCAACUCCGGAACUGCCUUUAAGACUGCAUCGCUUGAAUCCAGGAGAGGUGAGUGGAAUUCCGAGUGUAGAGGUGAAAUUCGUAGAUAUUCGGAAGAACACCAGUGGCGAAGGCGGCUCACUGGACUGGUAUUGACGCUGAUGUGCGAAAGCGUGGGGAGCAAACGGG